AACUUUAUUUGAGAGUUUGAUCCUGGCUCAGGAUGAACGCUGGCGGCGUGCCUAAUACAUGCAAGUCGAG
rnacentral:rRNA from 1 species